rnacentral:rRNA from 1 species
GUGGGGAAUAUUGGACAAUGGGCGCAAGCCUGAUCCAGCCAUGCCGCGUGAGUGAUGAAGGCCCUAGGGUUGUAAAGCUCUUUCAGUGGGGACGAUAAUGACGGUACCCACAGAAGAAGCCCCGGCUAACUUCGUGCCAGCAGCCGCGGUAAUACGAAGGGGGCUAGCGUUGUUCGGAUUUACUGGGCGUAAAGCGCACGUAGGCGGAUCGUUAAGUCGAGGGUGAAAUCCUGGAGCUCAACUCCAGAACUGCCUUCGAUACUGGCGAUCUUGAGUCCGGAAGAGGUGAGUGGAACUCCUAGUGUAGAGGUGGAAUUCGUAGAUAUUAGGAAGAACACCAGUGGCGAAGGCGGCUCACUGGUCCGGUACUGACGCUGAGGUGCGAACGCGUGGGGAGCAAACAGGAUUAGAUACCCUAGUAGUCC